UACGUAGGGGGCAAGCGUUAUCCGGAAUUACUGGGUGUAAAGGGUACGUAGGCGGCCCAUUAAGUCAGAUGUGAAAGCCCGGAGCUCAACUCCGGGAUUGCAUUUGAAAACUGGUGGGCUAGAGUACAGGAGAGGAAAGUGGAAUUCCUAGUGUAGCGGUGAAAUGCGUAGAUAUUAGGAAGAACACCAGUGGCGAAAGGCGGCUUUCUGGACUGUAACUGACGCUGAGGCACGAAAGCGUGGGUAUCAAACAGG
rnacentral:rRNA from 1 species